AAAAAGCCGAUGAUGGAGAAGAGUAGUUAAGAGUACACAUGGCCAGAGAGGAAAUGCCAUAGGCUGAAAGCAUUUCUCCGUGAUGACUUAACGAAGGAACACUCCGUAGGUUUCUCUUUGAACGCGCAUGCUAGUAGAAGGGAACGCGUACCGGGCGUUAUCGGGAUAAAGCGGAAGCGUUUGAGCUUCAAUUAGGGUGGCACCACGGGAAAACGACUCUCGUCCCUAUU
rnacentral:ncRNA from 1 species